rnacentral:rRNA from 1 species
CCUACGGGUGGCAGCAGUAGGGAAUCUUCCACAAUGGACGAAAGUCUGAUGGAGCAACGCCGCGUGAGUGACGAAGGGUUUCGGCUCGUAAAGCUCUGUUGGUAGUGGAGAAAGAGAGAGGUAGUAACUGGCCUUUAUUUGACGGUAAUUACUUAGAAAGUCACGGCUAACUACGUGCCCGCCGCCAAGGUAAUACGUAGGUGGCAAGCGUUGUCCGGAUUUAUUGGGGGGAAAGCGAGUGCAGGCGGUUCAAUAGGUCUGAUGUGAAAGCCGUCGGCUCAACCGGAGAAUUGCAUCAGAAACGGUUGAACUUGAGUGCAGAAGAGGAGAGUGGAACUCCAUGUGUAGCGGUGGAAUGCGUAGAUAUAUGGAAGAACACCAGUGGCGAAGGCGGCUCUCUGGUCUGCAACUGACGCUGAGGCUCGAAAGAAUGGGUAGCGAACAGGAUUAGAUACCCUAGUAGUC